GACGAACGCUGGCGGCGUGCUUAACACAUGCAAGUCGAACGGAAAGACCCUGCUUUUGUGCGGUGCUCGAGUGGCGAACGGGUGAGUAACACGUGAGUAACCUGCCCUUGACUUUGGGAUAACUUCAGGGGACUGGGGCUAAUACAGGAUAGGAGCUACUGAUGCAUGGUGGUCGUUGGAGAAUUUCGGCGGUUGGGGAUGGUCUCGCGGCUUAUCGGCUUGUUGGUGGGGUAGGGGCUUACCAAGGCUUUGAAGGGUAGGCGGCCUGGGAGGGUGACCGGCGACAUUGGGACUGCGAGACGGCGCAGACUCCUACGGGAGGCAGCAGUGGGGAAUAUUGCACAAUGGGCGGAAGCCUGAUGCAGCAACGCUGCGUGCGGGAUGACGGCCUUCGGGUUGUAAACCGCUUUCGACUGUGACGAAGCGUGAGUGACGGUAAUGGGUAAAAAAGCACCGGCUAACUACGUG
rnacentral:rRNA from 1 species